rnacentral:rRNA from 1 species
UACGUAGGGUGCAAGCGUUAAUCGGAAUUAAUGGGCGUAAAGCGGGCGCAGGCGGCUUUGCAAGACAGAUGUGAAAUCCCCGGGCUUAACCUGGGAACUGCAUUUGUGACUGCAUGGCUAGAGUGCGGCAGAGGGGGAUGGAAUUCCGCGUGUAGCAGUGAAAUGCGUAGAUAUGCGGAGGAACACCGAUGGCGAAGGCAAUCCCCUGGGCCUGCACUGACGCUCAUGCACGAAAGCGUGGGGAGCAAACAGG